rnacentral:rRNA from 1 species
AACGAACGCUGGCGGCAGGCUUAACACAUGCAAGUCGAACGCCCCGCAAGGGGAGUGGCAGACGGGUGAGUAACGCGUGGGAAUCUACCGUACCCUACGGAACAACAGUUGGAAACGACUACUAAUACCGUAUACGCCCUACGGGGGAAAGAUUUAUCGGGGUAUGAUGAGCCCGCGUUGGAUUAGCUAGUUGAUGGGGUAAAGGCCUACCAAGGCGACGAUCCAUAGCUGGUCUGAGAGGAUGAUCAGCCACAUUGGGACUGAGACACGGCCCAAACUCCUACGGGAGGCAGCAGUGGGGAAUAUUGGACAAUGGGCGCAAGCCUGAUCCAGCCAUGCCGCGUGAGUGAUGAAGGUCUUAGGAUUGUAAAGCUCUUUCACCGAUGAAGAUAAUGACGGUAGUCGGAGAAGAAGCCCCGGCUAACUUCGUGCCAGCCGCCGCGGUAA